UGUAAGCGUAUACCAAAGUUGUUGCAGUUAAAACGCUCGUAGUCGGAAUUUGGCAGUUCCGGAUGUGUGCACGUCGUGUGCGCACUUCGCGGGGAUUGCUUUUGUGGUCUUGCGUAGGAUGAGGCACUUUUAUUAGUGAACGUCCUCACGCAACCACUUUUUACUGUGAGAAAAUCAGAGUGCUCAAAGCAGGCAUUUGCCGUGAAUGUAUUAGCAUGGAAUAAUAGAAUAGGACUUGGUUCUAUUUUGUUGGUUUGUUGGGACUGAGUAAUGAUUAAGAGGGACAGUUGGGGGCAUUUGUAUUUCGGUGCUAGAGGUGAAAUUCUUAGAUUACCGAAAGACAAACUGCUGCGAAAGCGUCUGCCAAGGACGUUUUCAUUGA
rnacentral:rRNA from 1 species